rfam:Punica granatum cultivar Dabenzi scaffold34, whole genome shotgun sequence.
AUCCUCUCUCCAGAGAUAUCCGAUAAAAUUGGAAUGAUACAAAGAAUAUUAGCAUGGCCCCUGCGCAAGGAUGACAUGCACAAAUCGAGAAAGAAAAUGUACCGAA